GUGAGUGCGAGAAGGGCGUUCGGUGGAUGCCUUGGCACUGGAAGGCGAUGAAGGACGUGGCACGCUGCGAAAAGCCACGGGGAGCCGCGAGUAGGCUUUGAUCCGUGGAUAUCCGAAUGGGGCAACCCCCUCGCAAGAGGAUCCUGCGCUGAAUACAUAGGUGCAGGAGGCAAACCCGGGGAACUGAAACAUCUCAGUACCUGGAGGAAAAGACAUCAAUUGAGAUUCCGCUAGUAGUGGCGAGCGAACGCGGAACAGGCCAGUGGCCAUGAGAAGACAAGCAGAAUGCUCUGGAAAGUGCAGCCAUAGUGGGUGAUAGCCCCUUAUGCGUAAUGCUUCUUAUGGUCCUUGAGUAGGGCGGGGCACGUGAAACCCUGUCUGAACAUGGGGGGACCACCCUCCAAGCCUAAAUACUCUCUAGUGACCGAUAGUGAACAAGUACCGUGAGGGAAAGGUGAAAAGCACCCCGACGAGGGGAGUGAAAGAGACCUGAAACCGGACGCCUACAAGCAGUCGGAGCCUCUUAUGGGGUGACGGCGUACCUUUUGUAUAAUGGGUCAGCGAGUUUCUGUUUGCAGCAAGCUUAAGCCGGUAGGUGUAGGCGUAGCGAAAGCGAGUCUGAAUAGGGCGACGAGUUGCUGGCAGAAGACCCGAAACCGAGUGAUCUAGCCAUGGCCAGGUUGAAGGUGCGGUAACACGCACUGGAGGACCGAACCCACGCCUGUUGAAAAAGUCGGGGAUGAGCUGUGGUUAGGGGUGAAAGGCCAAUCAAACUCGGAGAUAGCUGGUUCUCCGCGAAAUCUAUUGAGGUAGAUCGUCAGGUGUUGACCCCGGGGGGUAGAGCACUGGAUGGGCUAGGGGGGCCCAAAGCCUUACCAAACCUAACCAAACUCCGAAUACCCGGAAGUUUAGCCUGGCAGACAGACAGUGGGUGCUAAGGUCCAUUGUCGAGAGGGAAACAGCCCAGACCACCAGCUAAGGCCCCUAAAUCGUGGCUAAGUGGGAAAGGAUGUGGGGAUUCCAAAACAACCAGGAGGUUGGCUUAGAAGCAGCCAUCCUUUAAAGAAAGCGUAAUAGCUCACUGGUCUAAUAGAAACCCUGCGCCGAAAAUGUAACGGGGCUCAAGCCACGUGCCGAAGCUGUGGGUGCAUACUUUGUAUGCGCGGUAGCGGAGCGUUCCGUAAGUCUGUGAAGGAGACGGGGUGACCCUCUCUGGAGAUAUCGGAAGUGCGAAUGCUGACAUGAGUAGCGACAAACAGUGCGAGAAACACUGUCGCCGUAAGUCCAAGGUUUCCUGCGCAAGGUUAAUCCACGCAGGGUUAGUCGGCCCCUAAGGCGAGGGCGAAAGCCGUAGUCGAUGGAAAUCAGGUUAAUAUUCCUGAACCUGCCAGAAGUGACGAAUGCGAGAUGUUGUCAGUCCUUAUCGGAUUGGACUGGCUUUUUGAGCAUUCCAGGAAAUAGCUCUGGCGUAUAGACCGUACCCUAAACCGACACAGGUGGACUGGUAGAGCAUACCAAGGCGCUUGAGAGAACGAUGCUGAAGGAACUAGGCAAAUUACUCGCGUAACUUCGGGAUAAGCGAGACCCGUGAGUGGGCAACCAUUUGCGGGUGGCACAGACCAGGGGGUAGCGACUGUUUAUUAAAAACACAGGACUCUGCGAAGUCGAGAGACGACGUAUAGGGUCUGACGCCUGCCCGGUGCCGGAAGGUUAAGAGGAGGUGUGAGAGCACUGAAUUGAAGCCCCGGUAAACGGCGGCCGUAACUAUAACGGUCCUAAGGUAGCGAAAUUCCUUGUCGGGUAAGUUCCGACCUGCACGAAUGGCGUAA
rnacentral:rRNA from 1 species